rnacentral:rRNA from 1 species
GACGAACGCUGGCGGCGUGCUUAACACAUGCAAGUCGAACGGAAAGGCCCUGCUUUUGUGGGGUGCUCGAGUGGCGAACGGGUGAGUAACACGUGAGUAACCUGCCCUUGACUUUGGGAUAACUUCAGGAAACUGGGGCUAAUACCGGAUAGGAGCUCCUGCUGCAUGGUGGGGGUUGGAAAGUUUCGGCGGUUGGGGAUGGACUCGCGGCUUAUCAGCUUGUUGGUGGGGUAGUGGCUUGCCAAGGCUUUGACGGGUAGCCGGCCUGAGAGGGUGACCGGCCACAUUGGGACUGAGAUACGGCCCAGACUCCUACGGGAGGCAGCAGUGGGGAAUAUUGCACAAUGGGCGGAAGCCUGAUGCAGCAACGCCGCGUGCGGGAUGACGGCCUUCGGGUUGUAAACCGCUUUCGCCUGCGACGAAGCGUGAGUGACGGUAAUGGGUAAAGAAGCACCGGCUAACUACGUG